UCCAAGGUGCAGAAUAAGCCAAGAGCUGGGC
rnacentral:piRNA from 1 species